rnacentral:rRNA from 1 species
AGAGUUUGAUCCUGGCUCAGGACGAACGCUGGCGGCGUGCCUAACACAUGCAAGUCGAACGGAGUGUUGCGCUGAAAUUGAGAUUAGCUUGCUAAAGGAAAUUUCUUGUAACACUUAGUGGCGGACGGGUGAGUAACGCGUGAGGAACCUGCCUUACAGAGGGGGACAACAGUUGGAAACGACUGCUAAUACCGCAUGAUGUGGAGGGGAGACAUCUCCCUUUCACCAAAGGAGCAAUCCGCUGUAAGAUGGCCUCGCGUCUGAUUAGAUAGUUGGUGGGGUAACGGCCUACCAAGUCGACGAUCAGUAGCCGGACUGAGAGGUUGAUCGGCCACAUUGGGACUGAGACACGGCCCAGACUCCUACGGGAGGCAGCAGUGGGGGAUAUUGCACAAUGGAGGAAACUCUGAUGCAGCAACGCCGCGUGAGGGAAGAAGGUUUUCGGAUUGUAAACCUCUGUUUUUAGUGAAGAAACAAAUGACGGUAGCUAAAGAGGAAGCCACGGCUAACUACGUGCCAGCAGCCGCGGUAAUACGUAGGUGGCAAGCGUUGUCCGGAAUUACUGGGUGUAAAGGGUGCGCAGGCGGGAUUGCAAGUUGGAUGUGAAAUACCGGGGCUUAACCCCGGAGCUGCAUCCAAAACUGUAGUUCUUGAGUGGAGUAGAGGUAAGCGGAAUUCCGAGUGUAGCGGUGAAAUGCGUAGAUAUUCGGAGGAACACCAGUGGCGAAGGCGGCUUACUGGGCUCUAACUGACGCUGAGGCACGAAAGCAUGGGUAGCAAACAGGAUUAGAUACCCUGGUAGUCCAUGCUGUAAACGAUGAAUGCUAGGUGUGGGGGGACUGACCCCUUCCGUGCCGGAGUAAACGCAAUAAGCAUUCCACCUGGGGAGUACGACCGCAAGGUUGAAACUCAAAGGAAUUGACGGGGACCCGCACAAGCAGCGGAGCAUGUGGUUUAAUUCGAAGCAACGCGAAGAACCUUACCGGGACUUGACAUCCCUCUGACGUCCCUUUAACAGGGGAUUUCUUCGGACAGAGGAGACAGGUGGUGCAUGGUUGUCGUCAGCUCGUGUCGUGAGAUGUUGGGUUAAGUCCCGCAACGAGCGCAACCCUUGUUGCUAGUUACUAACAUGUUAAGAUGAGGACUCUAGUGAGACUGCCGGGGAUAACUCGGAGGAAGGUGGGGAUGACGUCAAAUCAUCAUGCCCCUUAUGUUCUGGGCUACACACGUGCUACAAUGGCUGGUACAAAGAGAAGCGAGACCGCGAGGUGGAGCAAAACUCAAAAACCAGUCCCAGUUCGGACUGCAGGCUGAAACUCGCCUGCACGAAGUUGGAGUUGCUAGUAAUCGUGGAUCAGAAUGCCACGGUGAAUGCGUUCCCGGGUCUUGUACACACCGCCCGUCACACCAUGGAAGUUGGGGGUGCCCAAAGUCGGUCGAUAAAUAGACUGCCUAAGGCAAAACCAAUGACUGGGGUGAAGUCGUAACAAGGUA